CCUACGUGUGGCUGCAGUGGGGAAUAUUGCACAAUGGGCGCAAGCCUGAUGCAGCCAUGCCGCGUGUGUGAAGAAGGCCUUCGGGUUGUAAAGCACUUUCAGCGGGGAGGAAGGCGGUGAGGUUAAUAACCUCAUCGAUUGACGUUACCCGCAGAAGAAGCACCGGCUAACUCCGUGCCAGCAGCCGCGGUAAUACGGAGGGUGCAAGCGUUGAUCGGAAUUACUGGGCGUAAAGCGCACGCAGGCGGUCUGUCAAGUCGGAUGUGAGAUCCCCGGGCUCAACCUGGGAACUGCAUUCGAAACUGGCAGGCUAGAGUCUUGUAGAGGGGGGUAGAAUUCCAGGUGUAGCGGUGAAAUGCGUAGAGAUCUGGAGGAAUACCGGUGGCGAAGGCGGCCCCCUGGACAAAGACUGACGCUCAGGUGCGAAAGCGUGGGGAGCAAACAGGAUUAGAUACCCUUGUAGUC
rnacentral:rRNA from 1 species